AUGAAGCUAGAAUUGUCCUUGCCACCCCUGUUCGUGAUGAGCAUGAGGACUUUUAUGCAUGGUACCAUGACAGCAAAGGGCAGUUCUUGGUUAAGUCAGCAUAUAAGGGAAGGGGUGACUACACCAACGACGCAGAGGAGGGGAUGCCUUCAAACCAGGGUCUGCGAAUUGGUGGAUCCGGAUACCCAAACGUGGGACGAAAGACUGGUGAGGGAUAUCUUCAGGGAGGAUGAAGCUAGAAUUGUCCUUGCCACCCCUGUUCGUGAUGAGCAUGAGGACUUUUAUGCAUGGUACCAUGACAGCAAAGGGCAGUUCUCGGUUAAGUCAGCAUAUAAGGUUUAUGUCAAGAUCAGAGAUGCGGGUCUCCCACAAUGCUCAAAUCCUCAGCUGAACAGCUGGAACUGGAAGGAAAUUUGGAGCCUACCCUGUCAACCCAAGAUUCAACAGUUUGUAUGGCGGCUCGCCCAUAACAGUCUACCUCUGAAACUGAACAUGAAGCGGAGGGGUAUAGAUUGCGAUACUAUGUGUGUUUGCUACAGACGAUUGGAUGAGGAUGGGGCUCAUCUGUUUCUGAGAUGCAAGCAAGUUAAGAAGGUAUGGAGAUCCCUGCAACUUGAGGCUCUACGUCAGACGUUUUGUACCUACAGAAACGCAACUGCACUGCUGGAUAGAAUACUCCGACUGCCGGAAGAUAAAAAAACCUUGGUUGUAUGCCUGCUGUGGAAGUGGUGGGGUUGGAGGAAUAAAAUGAACGCUGGGGAGCAAGCUGGGCCAGUGGAAAAUCUGACAGCAGAGAUCAACAACUGGGCUAUCGAUUCACUUGCUUUGUGUCGACCACCUCGUACUGAACCCCGUCAACAGCAAGUGCAAGAGUGGAGGAAACCAGAGGGAGACAGACUAAAAAUUAAUUGUGAUGGGGCCUUCACGGAACACCUUGGCAAGGGCCGUAGGGGAUUCGUGGUCCGAGACAAGGAUGGGGAUGUGCGAGGGUCCGGUGCAGGGUGUCUGCGCCAUGCGGCUUCAGCGCUGCGGAAAGAAGCAGAGGGAUGUGCCAAGGCUCUAGUAGCUGCCUCUAGUUGGGGCAUGAUGGACGUCAAGGUUGAGAUGGACUGUCAGCCACUGGUUUCUGCAUUGAAAGACUCCGGGUCCGAUCUAGCACCUGAAGGCAUCCUAUUUAAGGAGAUACGUGACUUUGCCAGGCUAAAUUUCAACUCCGUCUCUUUUAAUUUUGCCCCGCGGGCGUGUAAUAGUCUAGCUCAUACUUUAGCUGCCUUUGGCGCUCAUCGCCUGGUUGAUCAAGAGUUCUGGUAUGAGGACCUCUCGAACGAUGUAAAUGUUCGCAGUGCCAGCUCCUUGCCUGGCCCGUCGAAGGCGGAGUUAACUUACGACGAGGUUGUAGUAGUUGCGGCCGAUGGUGACUCCAGUCCGAGAGGUGCCAAGGAAGUGGUCGACGGAGCCACACAUGGUCCAUGCUCCCAUGCAGAUGAGCCUCUCCAUUAUAAUCUUCGAUGGACGUUGAUUAGUGGGUGCCAUGGUGAGAAGACAAGCAUGAGCGCUCCCACCUUUAAGGGCCGCUCAACGAGUCACUUCCAGUAUCAGCAACAAUGCAGGCCCUCCCGGAUCCAAACACAUGCUCCGCUGGUAAAUGCCCAGGCCAAAGCCCAACAAAUCCAUAACAUUAAGGAUCAUAAAAUCUGGAUGGAGCUGAAGUGA
rnacentral:rRNA from 1 species